UUUAUUGCCUGACAGCCGCCAUCACAUGGAUGGUUGUCCAUUACCUUGUCCCAAAAACUAUCAGCACUUGUCAGCCUCGCCUUCCUCUCUGCUCGCUGCAAAGUUGCCAGUUCUUGCUUCUCCCAAUUUGCAAGAGUGACGAAAAAGCCCAGCAAACUCUGCAUUGCUGCUGGAAGUGCCGGCCGGUUCAUUCUUCCUUUCUCUUUCGGACUUUUUGAGCGAAAAGUUACUUUUUCUCUGUCUCCUUCCCCCCCUCCCCCCUUCCUCUCCUUCCCACCUCCCUCCCUCCGUCCCUCACCUCAACAAGCAAACAACAUUGAAAGCAACAACAACAAAAAACUCCAAAGCACUGCUCCCAAACACCAGGUUGAAUGUACAACAUGAUGGAAACCGAUCUCAAACCUCCCGCCCCGCAACAAACUUCGGGGGGAACAGGCAACUCGAACACGGCGGGGAACAACGCGAAGAACAGCCCGGACAGGGUGAAGAGACCGAUGAACGCCUUUAUGGUUUGGUCGCGGGGCCAGCGGCGGAAGAUGGCCCAAGAAAACCCCAAGAUGCACAACUCGGAGAUCAGCAAGAGGCUCGGGGCCGAGUGGAAACUUUUAUCCGAGGCCGAGAAGAGGCCGUUCAUCGACGAAGCAAAGCGGCUGCGAGCUCUGCACAUGAAGGAGCACCCGGAUUAUAAAUACCGGCCCCGGAGGAAAACCAAGACGCUGAUGAAAAAGGACAAGUACACGCUGCCGGGCGGCCUGCUGGCUCCCGGCGCUAAUGCCAUGAAUGCUGGAGUCGGGGUCGGCGUCGGGGCCGCGGUCAACCAGCGAAUGGACGGUUACGCUCACAUGAACGGCUGGACGAACGGGGGCUACAGCAUGAUGCAGGAACAACUCGGCUACUCACAGCACCAGGGCCUGAACGCUCACAACGUGGCCCAAAUGCAGCAGAUGCACCGCUACGACAUGAGCGCGCUGCAGUACAACUCAAUGACCAGCGCUCAGACCUACAUGAACGGCUCGCCCACCUACAGUAUGUCCCCAGCCUACACGCAGCAAAGCACAGCCAUCGGCCACCAAAAAGCCCUCGGGAGAAGUUGAGAGACGCUGGAAGCCGUGUAAAAGCGUGUGAAGGGAGCGUUUUGCAGCAGAAUGUCGAGGGAUUUUUGCUCUAAUCCUGUUUCUGUAUUCCCAGCGGGGGCUGCAGAUUGAUUCUGCACAGUAGCGCACUUUGGAUAAACUCUGCGUUAGAUAUCAACUCUCGACAUCAGUCGAAUUCUCGAAGCUUCCAGUAAAGAAAGGAAAUACUGGCGCACGCAGUAAGGUUCUGAACCCUUCUCCAUCGUGAUCCCUCCGUAAACCACCAUGGGUUUGGAAACGUUUGGAGAGAGCGCGAAUGUUUUUUUCUGCUGCGUCAGAAUUAGUUUCAAUGUUGAUCGUGAUAACUUUAACUCUCCGUUACUGGAUGGGAAUAUAAACAUAGUAUUAUUUCAUUCAAGUAAAUUAUAAACCACGGUUUUGAUAAUUAUAUUUUGUGUUAGCUUGUACUAUAGACAUUAAUAAAGAUAAGCCGCAGUAUUCGCAGCUAUAUCUAUGUAAGCCAGUGGAGUUGCCACCCAUUAUUACAACCUACCGUUUAGGUAAACAAAUGAAAGUAGCAAACAUCCAGUAUCAUGUCUGACCACACAUUUUGGCUCUAAAUUUCUUAUUAAAGUAAUGACAUAUUCGAUUUCACUAUUCAUGGUGAAAUUGAAUCUCGAUAUUUUAAAUGGAACAAAAGGAACCUGCACGAAGUUUUAAAAAUAUUUCGCACAUUCAGAGAGUGACAAUUUAUGACUUGUUUCGAAAGUCACUAAACAACCGUAAACCUGUUGAUGGUCAGUAGACGAAGGAUACACAAUAUGUCUUUCUUUCAUAUUUCUCGUGUGCUUAAUAUUUUUGAACUGUAAUUUCUCAAAUGAAUCCAGAAUAUUGAUGAGAAGGGAAUAGGAAAAGUUUUCCAGCCACUUGAAAACUAGGUGGAGUUUAGUAACAGACAGACACACACACACACACUCACACUCACACUCAUACACACACACACACACACACACACACACACACACACACUCACACACUCACACAUACACACACACACACACACACACACACACACAAUUGUCCCGUUUUAAAUGCCCUGUUAAACAGAGGCCCGGGUUCUGCAUGGCACCAAUGGAAUUUGUGAAUUGCACAGCAUGUGAGAUGCAUAUAGGGAUUAUUCAUGUGGUGACGGUUGCAAUUGGCCUCUCAUGUACAUAAGAAAGAACUGUUCUGAAUAUGGCCUUAGUGUUCCUGGCGUUCAUUUAAAAGGAACAGUUCGGGGUACCUCUUCAACAAUUAUGAUAUAAAUGAUACAUUGGGAGAGGUUAACUUCCAACUCAGACCGAAAUUGAUGCCAGUUUCCUAGUCAAAUAGAUGUUGGCGAAUUCGGUUCCCAAUCGGGUUCCAACAUAAAACUUUUAUUCAAUUGCCGUAAUACAAAUCACGAAUUGAUAGAAUGACACCGGGAUUACCCGAUCGCUUUGAGGUUCAUUGGCGCUUUCCUAUAUUUAACGGCUCGUUAAAUAUAGGUUUAACAUUCACACCAGAGAACAGACCGCAGGAUGAAAAAUCAACUCCCUUCUGAACAUUUACAUUGCAGUUUAUGCUGCAGUAUAAGUUCUACGUUUUCCAGACCAAUCAAACAACGCAUUAGGAGCGAAGAAAAAUGUGUCUUUUUUGCAAUGGUUACAUGAGGCAGACGGAUCAGGCGUCUCCCUGCGAAGCUGACACUGUUGUCAACGGUGUCAAACGCGCCUUUGCCGGACAGGGUCAGACAGCUUUGGUCAAAUUAAUUAUUGAUAAAACCUAUAGACGCAAUCCUGGAUAAACUAUUUUGAAGAACGUCCUACUCUAUUUCCCGCGCCCCCACCCUCGAUCUUUAAUGAGCGCCCAUAUAUGCAAAUAUAACAUAAAGAGCACUUUAAGCGCAUUUCAGAAGUGUUUCAAAACUAUAAUAUAAGAUUGUUGACAAUAUAAUUAGAAAUAAUCCCUCGUUAAUGUACAGUUUCAGAUUUUAUAGUUUCCCGAAAUGUUGACAUAUUUUUUUAAUAUGUUUCUGUUUUCGUGGAAUAACUGCACCAUACACAAAUAUAUUUCGAUAUAAUGCUGGGGUAAUUGUUGGAUACGAUUACCCGACAAUAAAUACAUUGAAUGAGAAUAGAUAAGCUAACGGGACAUGAACUAAUAAUUACAAUGCUGCAUUAAAUCAUCUAGGAGGUCUCAAAUGAGACCUUUGUGUCCUGGUCCAUUGAGGGUUCCAGCUGACAGCAUUUUGACAGAAAAUAGCCUAAAACCUGCCUAGUGCCUCGGAGGGACAGGCAAUACCUCUUAAGUGGAAGUGUGAUGGGAUACUCAUUUAAAGCUAUUACAACAAGGCAAUUAAAUGCCGCCGUUAUAGUAAAUGGGUUUAACUUUCAAUAACUCACCAACAUGAUGGAUCCGAAAAGGAACAAUAAAUAAAAGUCAAAUCAGAUUGUGGAGAUUUGCUGUUUAUCUAAGAGACUGGAAAUGGCAGGAAGGUGCACCUUGCAGCACGUCAACUGGGAAACGACACAAGAGCCCGAGGGGCUGAUUAUGGUGCAACAGGUGCCUCUUCGCCAUAAAAACCCCGAACGCCGUUUUCCUUCGAGUUUUUAUUUGUAUCUGUCGUCACCAGAGUUAGAUACUGCCGCUGUAAUUUAUAAAAUUAUAGCAUUCCCUUCAAAAAAUAUAUAUUAUCACAAUCGCUUCACUUCACCAACUGGUGACAGAACUGAUGUUAUAUUCAGAUUAAAAUAUGUUUCCUUAAGUUAUAAUGACUGUGUAGUUAACCAACAGAGGAACUUCAAAUGCACCGACGUUUAUUUUAUGUUUCUAAUUUGGCUCCCCAAGUAUGUUAGAUUAUUGCACUCCCUGAAGUUUAAAUACUCGAUUACAGCUAUCUGCCAGUAUAUCAUGUUGGUUAACUUUAACUGCAGAGAGCCCAUUCAAUAAAUAAUGGCGCAGACCAAGUUCAACCACGACUGUCGUAGCGACCUUCGUUAUGAAGCUAGUUUUGGCAGCUAUGGGGUUCUGUAAUUAAAAUAACCCCAUAAACUUGUGCUCAUAGCAUUCCAUCAUUAAUCUGGCGGCCUUGGGUGCAAAUAUGGGGUAACAUUCCCCUCCAUGGUGUGUGUCCGGUUGUAUCAGGGAUGAGGAGUUAUCUUUAAUUUGGUUUCAGAAAACCACCUUUAAAUAAAUACCAGAAAUGGGACCGACCGCGACUCGAGAUAGUAAGUUAAACAAAUGAUUCAACUGUAGUUUUUUUAAAGACUUUUUAGGCUAGUGGGUAAACAAUUGCAUUUUUUUUUGUAUUACAAUGGAUUUAGCAGCGCUUUUUUUUUUUAAAUUGCAAAACAAAUGGAAAAGAUGAAAAGGAUAGAUGGCCGCUUCAUGAGUCUGAGAAAAGUCGGCAAAGCUGGCAACGCGGCAGCUUCACAUCCUGACGUCAGCGCCCUUUGCGAGUUGGCUCCCAGUUUCCCACGGUUCAAAAUUUAGUAUUAUCCCCAACAACAUCCCACCCCCCACUCCCCGCUCCGCCCCACCUCAUCCCAUUCCGAUUGCUUUUACAACAUCUCAUUGGAUUUUUUUUUUUAAUUGUCCUCGCUGGUGUUUACGUUGAGGAACACAUUUCUAAACUUGGAAAUAGCUGGCAGAUAGAGGGAAAGUAAUUAAGGUAUUAGAACAAGCAGUGCAUUCCUCCAGAGGACCUUAUCAUCCAGGAACAGGCUCAACAUCCUCAAUAUGCUAAUGUGGCAAGAAUGACGUCACGGCCGCAAGUUUGCCUGCUCCUACAUUGUGGAAACAAAGUGUGAAGUUCUGUAAAUAAAAUGCUCUUUCCCACUCUCACUACCACCCUUCAAGCGCGAUCUGUUGUGUUUUAAAACGCCACCCUUACUGUUUGUGUGAAAAAAAAAUUUGCCGAUAAUUUGAUAAAAAUGAAUUGCAACGUUUUGGGUGACGUUUCUAUUUUAUAAAAGGUUGGGAAAAAAACGCAAAUGGAAUCGAGAAAUAAGAAUAAAUAAACUUUCAAUUAAAAUAUAGUGUUGCUUCACGGAAGCAGAUGAUAUCAUAUGUGAACAAGAAGUGAAUUUUAACUUGGCAGUCUGCGUGCCUCAGCACAUCAGAUGGAGAAUGGGUUUACAGUAAUACACCGCUUUCUAUCCGACAAUGCUGACAAUUUGAUCAGCGCGGUUAUUUUCAUUUCAUAGUAUGAAGGUCCGAGAAAAAAAAAUUGUGAUUGCAAAUGGUUGCUUUCUCGAAGUAUUAAAGUCACAGCCGUUAUCGGUGCAGCUUCUCGUUAAGAAAAAUGUCAACUCGCUUGACGGCCGUUGUCAGUGAUGUUAUGUUGAAUUUAAUUCUGAUGUUGGUAAUAUGCCUAACCUGUUGUGAAUUACCAUGCAUAAUUAAAGUUCUUUUGUUUUAUUCAAAAUAAAGGAUCGCCGUCAUGGAAUCCAAGACCUGAACAUAGAUUUUCAUUUAAUUGGACAUUUAAUAGUGUCGAACUACACAGAAACAUUCUAUGAUAGUUUACGGGUUUACUAUUCAGCUGACACCGGAGUUGAUUCUUUUACUUAUUUUUAUGUUUUCCAUCUCGCCAAUCACGUUUGAUUCACAGUAUUUGUUAAUUUGGAAUUUUUUAGUUAGGGGAUAAAUGUUGUGAAAGAAUCCGCGCUUGAUUGCCAAAGGCGAUACACACACUAUUUACACAAAGAAACCACGAGUCAACCAUCUCUAAACUCAUUGACCAAUAUUGUGCUUAUCGCCGAAUGAACGAUUAAUUCAAUCAUAUAGUCCAAAUCUUAAUCCAGUGAAUAAAAACAAUUUAUUGUUUAUAUAAACAAUAUGAAUAAAAACAAUAACCUCUUCGCCCCACCAGAACUGAAUCGUUCACACUAAUUAUUUUAUAUUAUAUUUGUCUUCUGAAUUUGGGUUUGAAAGCAUCCAGUGAGCUAAAUGCGUUCAAAAGUUUUCGAUCACUCUCUUGUUUACUGUGAGAAGCAAGUAAAUCAGCUGAAGUAUAAUGACAGUUCCUCUCCUUAUCUUGGCUAAGAACAUUUUAAGUCAGAUCUUCGUUGAACCUUCUCCUAAUGGCGUGAUUAAAUGAACGACAGCAUACGAUCUGUGUAAA